UGAGUAGUGGAGAGGGAAACGGGAAUUCCAGGUGUAGCGGUGGAAUGCGUAGAUAUCGGGAAGAACACCAGGUAGCGAAGGCGGUUUCCGGGCCACAUACUGACGCUGAGGCUCGAAAGCGUGGGGAGCAAACAGGAUUAGAUACCCUGGUAGUCCACGCCGUAAACGAUGGGCACUAGAUAUCGGGGAAUUCAUUUUCGUCGGUGUCGCAGUUAACGCGAUAAGUGCCCCGCCUGGGGAGUACGCUCGCAAGGGUGAAACUCAAAGGAAUUGACGGGGGCCCGCACAAGCGGUGGAGCAUGCGCUUUAAUUCGAUGCAACGCGAAGAACCUUACCUGGGCUUGACAUGGGAGUGAAACUUCCCAGAGAUGGGAAGCCUUCCUUCGGGAACACUCUACACAGGUGCUGCAUGGUUGUCGUCAGCUCGUGUCGUGAGAUGUUGGGUUAAGUCCCGCAACGAGCGCAACCCUCGCCCUUAGUUGCCAUCAGGUAAUGCUGGGAACUCUAGGGGGACCGCCUGGAACAACCAGGAGGAAGGUGGGGAUGAUGUCAAAUCAUCAUGGCUCUUACGUCCAGGGCUAGACGCGUGCUACAAUGGUCGGUACAGAAGGAUGCCAAGUCGCGAGACCGAGCUAAUCCAUUAAAACCGGCCUCAGUUCGGAUUGGAGUCUGCAAUUCGACUCCAUGAAGUUGGAAUCGCUAGUAAUCGCGGAUCAGCAUGCCGCGGUGAUAUGUUCCCGGGCCUUGUACACACCGCCCGUCAAGCCACGAAAGAUGGGAGUGCCCGAAGUCGCUUUGUCCAACCCGCAAGGGGGGACGGUGCCGAAGGUAAGACUAUGAUUGGGGCUAAGU
rnacentral:rRNA from 1 species